rnacentral:rRNA from 1 species
UAGGUAACCUGCCUCUAAGAUCGGGAUAACCUGUCGAAAGACGAGCUAAUACCAAAUGAGACCACAGCUUCUUCGGAAGCAAGGGUCAAAGGUAGCCUCUACUUGUAAGCUAUCACUUAGAGAUGGGCCUGCGUACCAUUAGCUAGUUGGUGGGGUAACGCCCACAAGGCAGAGAUGGUUAGCUGGUCUGAGAGGAUGAUCAGCCACACUGGAA